rnacentral:rRNA from 1 species
UACGAGGGGUGCAAGCGUUGCUCGGAAUUAUUGGGCGUAAAGAGCUCGUAGGCGGUUUGUCGCGUCUGCUGUGAAAACUGGAGGCUCAACCUCCAGCCUGCAGUGGGGUACGGGCAAAACUAGAGUGCGGUAGGGGGAAGAUUGGAAUUCCUGGUGUAGCGGUGGAAUGCGCAGAUAUCAGGAGGAACACCGAUGGCGAAGGCAGAUCUCUGGGCCGUAACUGACGCUGAGGAGCGAAAGCAUGGGGGAGCGAAACAGG